UCCCGUGUGGCUCAGUUGGUAGAGCAUGGUGUUUGCAACGCCAGGGUUGUGUGUUCGAUUUCCACGGGGG
rnacentral:tRNA from 1 species